UUUUUAUGGCAGCCCUAACAGAUUAAUUCACGCAGCCUGUGAACACAGAGAGAUGGGCUCCUUGUAUGAUGAGGACAUCAUUUUGGGCCUGGUUUCCUUCACACAUUCUCCUAAAUGUAGACAUUACCAAGUUGAAAAUUUAAGUAAAGCCUCAAGUUUGCUCAGCUGUUGUCUCAGGGGAAGCAGAUCCCCUCAACCCAC
rnacentral:lncRNA from 1 species